ACGCCGCGUGAGCGAAGAAGUAUUUCGGUAUGUAAAGCUCUAUCAGCAGGGAAGAUAAUGACGGUACCUGACUAAGAAGCACCGGCUAAAUACGUGCCAGCAGCCGCGGUAAUACGUAUGGUGCAAGUGUUAUCCGGAUUUACUGGGUGUAAAGGGAGCGCAGGCGGUGCGGCAAGUCUGAUGUGAAAGCCCGGGGCUCAACCCCGGUACUGCAUUGGAAACUGUCGUACUAGAGUGUCGGAGGGGUAAGCGGAAUUCCUAGUGUAGCGGUGAAAUGCGUAGAUAUUAGGAGG
rnacentral:rRNA from 1 species